AACGAACGCUGGCGGCAUGCCUAACACAUGCAAGUCGAACGAGAUCUUCGGGUCUAGUGGCGCACGGGUGCGUAACGCGUGGGAAUCUGCCCUUUGGUUCGGAACAACAGUUGGAAAUGACUGCUAAUACCGGAUGAUGACGAAAGUCCAAAGAUUUAUCGCCAGAGGAUGAGCCCGCGUAGGAUUAGCUAGUUGGUGUGGUAGAGGCGCACCAAGGCGACGAUCCUUAGCUGGUCUGAGAGGAUGAUCAGCCACACUGGGACUGAGACACGGCCCAGACUCCUACGGGAGGCAGCAGUGGGGAAUAUUGGACAAUGGGCGAAAGCCUGAUCCAGCAAUGCCGCGUGAGUGAUGAAGGCCUUAGGGUUGUAAAGCUCUUUUACCCGGGAUGAUAAUGACAGCACCGGGAGAAUAAGCUCCGGCUAACUCCGUGCCAGCCGCCGCCGUAA
rnacentral:rRNA from 1 species